rnacentral:rRNA from 1 species
CAGUCGUGUUUGCUUGGACCCAGCCUUACCUCGGUUUGGUGCAUUUCCUUGUGAACGGGCCAGCGUCAAUGUUGUUCGUUGGAAAAUGAUUGGAGGAAUGUGGCUUCGACUUCGGUUGAAGUGUUAUAGACUCUGGUAGAUGUGAUGGUUGAGACCGAGGAUUGCAACGGAUGCCCUUAAGGGCUAUCCGCCUGGCCUCUGAAAGUC